rnacentral:rRNA from 1 species
AGGAUAAACGCUGGCGGCGUGCCUAACACAUGCAAGUCGAACGCCCUACGCAAGUAGGGAGUGGCGGACGGGUGAGGAACACGUGGGUUAUCUGCCUUUCGGUGAGGAAUACCAGCGAGAAAUCGCUGACAAUACCGCAUACGGUUCUUUCGAGAGGAAGAACGAAAGUCGUAAGACGCCGGGAGAUGAGCCUGCGCCCGAUUAGUUUGUUGGUGGGGUAAAAGCCUACCAAGACUGCAAUCGGUAGCUGGUCUGAGAGGACGAUCAGCCACACUGGGAUUGAGAACGGCCCAGACUCCUACGGGGGGGCAGCAGUGAGGAAUUUCGUCAAUGGGGGAAACCCUGAACGAGCAACGCCGCGUGCAGGAAGAAGGUUUUCGGAUCGUAAACUGCUUUUCUGUGGGAAGAGAACGGACGGUACCACAGGAAGAAGCCCCGGCUAACUACGUGCCAGCAGCCGC